UACAGAGGUCUCAAGCGUUGUUCGGAUUCAUUGGGCGUAAAGGGUGCGUAGGCGGCCCGGUAAGUCCGCUGUGAAAGUCGGGGGCUCAACCCUCGAAUGCCGGUGGAUACUGUCGGGCUAGAGUGCGGAAGAGGCGAGUGGAAUUCCUGGUGUAGCGGUGAAAUGCGCAGAUAUCAGGAGGAACACCAAUUGCGAAGGCAGCUCGCUGGGACGUAACUGACGCUGAGACGCGAAAGCGUGGGGAGCAAACAGG
rnacentral:rRNA from 1 species